UUCUGCAGCCACACCACCCUGAACAGACCCAAUCUCGGCUGAUCCCGGAAGCUAAGCAGGGUCAGGCCUGGUUAGUACCUGGAUGGGAGAACAACUCUUCGGAAUAAGAAUUUGGAAACCAGAGGUGGCACACA
rnacentral:rRNA from 1 species